rnacentral:lncRNA from 1 species
CGGUGGUUGGAGCAGGUGAAAUGGUGGUAGAUGCAGUAGUUACAUUGGCAACAGUAGGCAGAACAGUAGGUGCAGCAGUAGGUGUAUCAGCAUAACACCUAGACUCUUUUUUACUAAUUGUGCCAUUUUGAACAAAAGGCUGCAUAGUAACAUUCCAGAAAAUCUGUGUUACGUUUUCUGCUUCCAAAGAGGUAGUAUGAUGACACACAAAGACAUUAUUCAGUUGAAUUGGAUGCAUAGCGUCCUUUACAACAAUUGUAACUGGUCCUUGUCUCCUAGCAUCAGGAAAGACAGCAGUAUCAUUGGUGUUGUAGGUAAAUGUGAUAAACUCAGCCCGAUAAGUUUCGUUGUUUUUUGUGAAGUUAAUGCUCCAAGAGUGACCAUCUCCAAACUGCACUGCCAGAAGUGCAGCUUGUGUGUCACUGCCACAGAUGCUUCCGUUGUGUGUCACAGUGGAUGUCAAAUCCAAGCUUGCAUUUUUAUAAUCACUACUGUUUGUUUCAUAUUUUAUCAAGAAUUUCAUCAUCCAUUGUGCGUACAAGCAUGUAAAAUUAGAGGCAUCCUUUACAUCUACUUCCACUGCAUAGGACUGGAAAAAACCGCAGGCACCGAGGAGGAGCAGCAGCAGCGCGAGACCGGCGGGGCAGCGCGGCGGUGCCAUACUGCCGGCCGAGGGGCUCUUCCGAGGGGCAGGCGGGCGCGGCAACAGCGUCGACAUCGCUCCACUUUCCAAGCUGUGCAGUGGCAUGGGGACUCACUGAGAUCCGGGCACCUGCAUGAAGAACGGCGUUGCCCAGCACAGCCUGGCAGCAGAGCGCUUCAGCUGCGGCUGUUACUGGGGAAGCAUGACGGCCACAGCUCUGAAACAAUCACUUUCUAUCUCAACUGUGUGAAAGCUGCGCUUCACCCCCGCUCAGAGCAGAUGGCGGCGUUUCUGAGCUGCUGCUUUUCUGGAGGAGGUGGUGAUGGGAAACCAAACCAUUAAAUGCUGCUGGGCCAGCAAACUGCUGAGUCAAGACUGGGGCAAUCACGUGGAAUGCCAAAAAAAGAAACCUUUGUGCUGAGGUGAAGGGAUCGGAGCCCAGGCUGCAGCGGGCGGCUGCAGUGUUUCCUGCAAAAGCCCACUGAGAGCUCACGCUGUGACACAGCUGGAAAAACAUGUUCCCAGCCUGCACGCAGAAGCAAAGAGACAAUGGUGGCCCCGGAUGCCUACCAGUAGUUACGCUGUAACAGUGUCAAAGGUUAAGGCAGAUUUUCUGCAGAUCAUGUAAAGAACUGUACUACAGUUACUAGAGGGUGACAGUAAGUAAUUCAGUAGGAGAAAAAAACCACCUGCUCCAUCUGUCAACUGAGGACUGCAUACAAAGAAGCCUGAGAAAACUUCCCAACAAGAAAAUACAGAAUUAAACAAUGGACCAAAAAAGCAGUAAGGAUGGGAGACAUCCAAUACAAAACAGACACACACACCCCCUCUCUCACAUGUAGGCCCCUGAAAGUGGGAUCACAGUGAUAAAAGUUAGAGAUCAUAGAGCGGUGUGAAAGACAUCUGUCAUAUCAGGGGACUCUCCUCUUCAGACCCAGAGUCAAAUGGAAUUAUGAAGACCAGAUACUUUCUUGCAGCUUCCUGCACAUCUUACUAAAUAACAUGCAAAGAGUUCAACAGCAUUCUUCUUAAAAUGUAAAUAGUACUCUUUAAAUGGGCAUGUUAACCACUGAAAGAAGUCCACUCUACUAUACUCCUCCAUUACACUGCUUUCAUUCAGUCAUCGGUAGUAUAAAAAGUCAAUUAACGGGAUUAACAGGCUAGUUUAUCCACUGGCAAUUGCGUAUGACACCAAGUGUGCAGUAAAACAAAGGCCAACAUAUGUUUACGCAAUAUAGUUGUACUGAUUUGGGUUUUCUUUAUCUCUUUCCAUGUAGUCUCUGUCAAUUAAGGAUUCUAUUCUCUUCUUAAGGUCAGCAGGCUGUAAAUUAAAGCAGAUGUCAGCAUUAUUAUUUUGUAGUCGACGCUUCUCAAUCCUACCUAAGCCAAAUAUCCAUACUGCUUGAGAUGACUGAUGAACCAUAUUAUAACUUACAUCUCUCAACACAUCAAAGCUUCUUAAACUUGCAGUGUGCAAUUAAAGAGAAAGUUACAAGAUUAGACAGAAUGCACCAUAUAUCUGAGCUCAGAUGUUAUCACAGAAUCACAGAAUCUAUGUUAUCUAAGCUAUGUCACUGUCUUUUGGAAAAUCAGUUUGCACUUGUACACAGUAAGCUAUUCUUUCUCAUAUUGCAUCUGUUACUACUAACAAACUCCCAGUUCUGAAAACCUUUACUAUGUUGUACUAAUGAAGAGGUUAACAUUCAGAUAAACUAAUGAAACCGACACUUUAAAAAAUCCUGAAAUUACGUACUUUUUGUUCCUUCUAUCAGGAAAGGGAACACAUGUUUCAGAUAGAAGCACUGUUUAACUGAGAACAGGUCAAGGAAUGUGAAGAGAGGUAAUACAUUUUGAAAACAAAAGAAAUCAGUACUACACCUUUACUGGGAAUUUAAGCUGGUUGUAGACCUCUGACACAAGCAAGUUAUGACUCAGUGUUUUUCGCAUCUUCAUAAUUCGAACAAUAGCGGCAUCAAUCUGGUAUUGCCGGUCCUGGAAUACUCUCUCUGUAGUGCUUGCCUGUUCCUCUACCGUUUCUUUCAUCUGAAUUUGGUUGAUUUUUAUCCUGAACAGCUUAUGUCUGAAAUCAUCAUUGCAUGUGAAUUUAUCACCAUCUUCCACAUCUUUUCCUUUGGGGCUCUUUGUCAGUACUCUAGCUUUGCCACAAGCCAGAGACUGAAGUGUCCUUCGCAGCUCUCCAUCCUCUAUCCCAGUGGCUUGCUUUAUCUCCUCUAGACUGAACUCCUCUCCUUCAUUAAACAUGAGCAGCACUAGUGUCUGGAACAAGGAGACCUGAAGUUCUUUUUUGCCCUCUUUAAAUUCUGCUUUUAGCACACAGUGUCCUAGAGUUGACUGCCACUGAAGUUUCCUACCACUGUGUUUUCCUAAGUAAAAGGUUUUGAAAAUCUCCUGCAGUUUUACCAUCUCUGGGGGAAGGUGGACCUCCAUAGGCACAUAGGUUGGCCAAUAACCCAUAGUCAAGAUAUUCACUGUUAGUUCAAUAUUGCCAGGUACAUUCUGAUUUUGCAUAUACUGUUUAAAUUGUAUCAUUAUGUCUUUUGAAAGCUCCAUAUCUUUAAACAUUCCUUCAAGUUUGCUUGUGAAAGCAGCUCCACAUUCAUGUUUGAGUUUGGAAAGCAUAGAUUUUUCAGCAUCUACUGAAGCACUCUUCCCAACUAAUAGUCUCUUCGCUAGAUCUUUUUUAUAGAAGGCCUCAAACACAUCUUUUCCAUAUAUGAAUCUAAAUAUGAUCAUAAUUUUAUCCAGCAUUUUUUCAAGUUCUUCAUCAGUAGCUUCUUUGUUGCCUGCCCGAAGCUUUGAAUCUACAUAUUUAGCUAUGAGUUCAGCUGGCUUAUUUGGUCUUUUGUUAAUGAAUGUUUCAAAGGCUUCUUUCAUGGCGUUUACAAACUUCUCAUUCUUGAGAAAGCAAACAUCAAUAAUAUGGUCGACCUUAUCUUUAAAAUCAAGCAGUUCUUGGACCAUGGUUUUGUCUUUUUCUGGAUUAAUUACUAUGGUGCUACCAAAUGCCUUUAUGUACUCAAUCCAGUGUUGCAAGAGAACUUGCACUCCACCUCUCACACGACUGAAUAACUGAUACAGAAGGGACAGGUCUUGAAUUCGGUUUUCAUCCAGAAGGUGGUUUAAACCUUUCUGGAGAAUGGCUGUUAAAUGUUCACCUAGAAGUUGCUUUUCUACAGUAGCAAUUAGUGGCUUCUGCGUGCUCUGAUCCAAGUAAGUGAUUAUCCUGUCUGCUUCUUCUU